rnacentral:rRNA from 1 species
GGGGGAUAUUGCACAAUGGAGGAAACUCUGAUGCAGCAACGCCGCGUGAGCGAUGAAGGCCUUCGGGUUGUAAAGCUCUGUCUUCUCUGACGAUGAUGACGGUAAGAGAGGAGGAAGCCACGGCUAGCUACGUGCCAGCAGCCGCGGUAAUACGUAGGUGGCAAGCGUUGUCCGGAAUUAUUGGGCGUAAAGGAUGCGUAGGCGGUCUUUUAAGUGGGAUGUGAAAUACCCGGGCUUAACCUGGGAAUGGCAUUCCAAACUGGAAGACUAGAGUGCAGGAGAGGAAAGUGGAAUUCCCAGUGUAGCGGUGAAAUGCGUAGAGAUUGGGAGGAACACCAGUGGCGAAGGCGACUUUCUGGACUGUAACUGACGCUGAGGCAUGAAAGCGUGGGGAGCAAAC